UGGGGGAAUAUUGCACAAUGGGGGGAAACCCUGAUGCAGCAACGCCGCGUGAGUGAAGAAGUAUUUCGGUAUGUAAAGCUCUAUCAGCAGGGAAGAUAAUGACGGUACCUGACUAAGAAGCCCCGGCUAACUACGUGCCAGCAGCCGCGGUAAUACGUAGGGGGCAAGCGUUAUCCGGAUUUACUGGGUGUAAAGGGAGCGCAGGCGGCAGGGCAAGUCAGAUGUGAAAUACUGGGGCUCAACCCCGGGACUGCAUUUGAAACUGUCGUACUAGAGUGUCGGAGGGGUAAGUGGAAUUCCUAGUGUAGCGGUGAAAUGCGUAGAUAUUAGGAGGAACACCAGUGGCGAAGGCGGCUUACUGGACGAUAACUGACGCUGAGGCUCGAAAGCGUGGGGAGCAAACAGGAUUAGAUACCCUGGUAGU
rnacentral:rRNA from 1 species